ACGGGAGGCAGCAGUGGGGAAUAUUGGACAAUGGGCGCAAGCCUGAUCCAGCCAUACCGCGUGGGUGAAGAAGGCCUUCGGGUUGUAAAGCCCUUUUGUUGGGAAAGAAAUCCAGCUGGCUAAUACCCGGUUGGGAUGACGGUACCCAAAGAAUAAGCACCGGCUAACUUCGUGCCAGCAGCCGCGGUA
rnacentral:rRNA from 1 species